CAGUCGCCGCGGUAAUACGAAGGGUGCAAGCGUUACUCGGAAUUACUGGGCGUAAAGCGUGCGUAGGUGGUGGUUUAAGUCCGUUGUGAAGGCCCUGGGCUCAACCUGGGAAUUGCAGUGGAUACUGGGUCACUAGAGUGUGGUAGAGGAUAGUGGAAUUUCCGGUGUAGCAGUGAAAUGCGUAGAGAUCGGAAGGAACAUCUGUGGCGAAGGCGACUAUCUGGGCCAACACUGACACUGAGGCACGAAAGCGUGGGGAGCAAACAGGAUUAGAUACCCCAGUAGUCCCUGUCUCUUAUAC
rnacentral:rRNA from 1 species